GAGGAAGUAAAAGUCGUAACAAGGUUUCCGUAGGUGAACCUGCGGAAGGAUCAUUACCGAGCUCAUGCCCGUCACGGGUAGACCUCCCACCCGUGUCUACGUCUACUUUGUUGCUUUGGCGGGCCGCCGCAAGGCCCCGGCCGCUCCAGGCCGGGACGGGCCCGCCAGAGGACCCCCCCAACUCGAACCGUGAGUGUCGUCGGAGUACUAUCUAAUAGUUUAAAACUUUCAACAACGGAUCUCUUGGUUCUGGCAUCGAUGAAGAACGCAGCGAAAUGCGAUAAGUAAUGUGAAUUGCAGAAUUCAGUGAAUCAUCGAAUCUUUGAACGCACAUUGCGCCCCUUGGUAUUCCGAGGGGCAUGCCUGUUCGAGCGUCAUUGCAACCCUCACGCCCCGCGUGGUCUUGGGCCCUGCCGGCAACGGCAGGCCCUAAAGCGAGUGGCGGCGCCCGAUGGCCCUGAACGUAGUACACCUCUCGUUACAGGCGCCGGAGGGACGCUGGCCAGCAGCCCCGACUUUCUAUGGUUGACCUCGGAUCAGGUAGGGAUACCCGCUGAACUUAAGCAUAUCAA
rnacentral:rRNA from 1 species